rnacentral:lncRNA from 1 species
GUGGCUGUGCUGGAGUCUCUGAACAUACUCUGGCUUGAGAGGCUGCCCCAUUCGCGAAUGGUUCAUUGCUCAACUAAAUGCUUUUAAAUUUAAUUCGGCUGAAGUUUUUCUUUUAUCAUACUUAGAAGGACAGUUCUGAAAGCUAGAUGUCGGAAAUCAAGGAGUCACUAAGAUGAUGUCAGAAGUGGGAUCCAAAGUAGAGGUUCUAACGACCCCCAAGAACACUGAGUGACCAAACAAGGUACCUGCUGGACUCACUUGUGUCUGCUGAUCUUUCAGGGCAGCUGGGGAUUGUGGGCAGUUGCACAACCUGGAGGCUGGCAUCAUGGGGUCAUUUAGGAUUGAAUCUGAAGGAGCCGCUGUGGUGGAAAUGAAAUCCCUGCACAAAAGAAGCUGGGGCUGAACUAUCAUAUUCUCCUGGAAGUAGUGGUGCUUUUAUAAUCUUUGGCCUGCAAUGUUAUUUGAAGUGUGAAUGUCUUCUAAUUUUUCUGACUCAAUGUCAUUGGCUUUCCUGAGUAUGAAGAUUAAGGUUUAUCACCAGUUUGAAGAAAUGCUUAGUGAUUUUUAAAAAUCUACCCAGGUAUAUCAUAGAUCUUGUAGCCUAUGUGUCUCAUAAAAAUCCCUUUUCUUUAUUUAUCUCCCUUGCAUUCUGAAUAAUUUUGUCAAUUCUACUUACUAGUCCAUUAUUAUUUUAUUCCUUGGUGUCAAAUAUAAUGUUCUACCCAUGAUAUGCAUCUUUAAUUUCAAUACUAUAUUUCUGGAAGUUCUAUUUAAUUCUGUUUUGAGACCUCUAGCUAAGUUUUAAUACCUG